rnacentral:rRNA from 1 species
UACGUAGGGGGCAAGCGUUGUUCGGAAUUACUGGGCGUAAAGGGCGCGUAGGCGGCACAGCAAGUCGGGUGUGAAAGCCCGGGGCUUAACCCCGGAAGUGCACUCGAAACUGUAAGGCUUGAGUAUGGAAGAGGGUCUCGGAAUUCCCGGUGUAGAGGUGAAAUUCGUAGAUAUCGAGAGGAACACCGGUGGCGAAGGCGGCCUUCUGGACAGUGACUGACGCUGAGACGCGAAAGCGUGGGGAGCAAACAGG